rnacentral:tRNA from 1 species
UUUAAAGUAGCUUAAAUAAAUUUAAAGCGUAGCACUGAAGAUGCUAAAAUGGUUUAAUAACCCUUAAACG